AUAUCAAUAAGCGGAGGAAAAGAAACCAACAGGGAUUACCUCAGUAACGGCGAGUGAAGCGGUAACAGCUCAAAUUUGAAAUCUGGCUCUUGGGCCCGAAUUGUAAUUUGUGGAAGAUGCUUUGGGUGCGGCCCCGGUCUAAGUUCCUUGGAACAGGACGUCAUAGAGGGUGAGAAUCCCGUAUGUGACUAGGUGCCCGCGCCCGUGUAAAGCUCUUUCGACGAGUCGAGUUGUUUGGGAAUGCAGCUCAAAAUGGGAGGUAAAUUUCUUCUAAAGCUAAAUACCGGCCAGAGACCGAUAGCGCACAAGUA
rnacentral:rRNA from 1 species